UAUGGAUAUGGUUUAUGUAUU
rnacentral:piRNA from 1 species